rnacentral:rRNA from 1 species
GAUGAACGCUAGCUACAGGCUUAACACAUGCAAGUCGAGGGAACGAUAUUGGAAGCUUGCUUCUGAUAGGCGUCGACCGGCGCACGGGUGAGUAACGCGUAUCCAACCUGCCCAUCACUUGGGGAUAACCUUGCGAAAGUAAGACUAAUACCCAAUGACGUCUCUAGAAGACAUCUGAAGAGAUUAAAGAUUUAUCGGUGAUGGAUGGGGAUGCGUCUGAUUAGCUUGUUGGCGGGGUAACGGCCCACCAAGGCGACGAUCAGUAGGGGUUCUGAGAGGAAGGUCCCCCACAUUGGAACUGAGACACGGUCCAAACUCCUACGGGAGGCAGCAGUGAGGAAUAUUGGUCAAUGGACGAGAGUCUGAACCAGCCAAGUAGCGCGCAGGAUGACGGCCCUAUGGGUUGU